rnacentral:rRNA from 1 species
CAGCCGCCGCGGGAAUACGGAGGGUGCGAGCGUUAAUCGGAAUAACUGGGCGUAAAGGGCACGCAGGCGGUGACUUAAGUGAGGUGUGAAAGCCCCGGGCUUAACCUGGGAAUUGCAUUUCAUACUGGGUCGCUAGAGUACUUUAGGGAGGGGUAGAAUUCCACGUGUAGCGGUGAAAUGCGUAGAGAUGUGGAGGAAUACCGAAGGCGAAGGCAGCCCCUUGGGAAUGUACUGACGCUCAUGUGCGAAAGCGUGGGGAGCAAACAGGAUUAGAUACCCCCGUAGUCCCUGUCUCUUAUAC